AAUAUUGCGCAAUGGGCGAAAGCCUGACGCAGCGACGCCGCGUGGGGGAUGAAGGCCUUCGGGUUGUAAACCCCUUUCAGCAGGGACGAAGCGAAAGUGACGGUACCUGCAGAAGAAGGUCCGGCCAACUACGUGCCAGCAGCCGCGGUAACACGUAGGGACCAAGCGUUGUCCGGAUUUAUUGGGCGUAAAGCGCUCGUAGGCGGUUCGGUAAGUCGGGUGUGAAACCUCCAGGCUCAACCUGGUGACGCCACCCGAUACUGCCGUGACUUGAGUUCGGUAGGGGAGCGGGGAAUUCCUGGUGUAGCGGUGAAAUGCGCAGAUAUCAGGAGGAACACCGGUGGCGAAGGCGCCGCUCUGGGCCGAAACUGACGCUGAGGAGCGAAAGCGUGGGGAGCGAA
rnacentral:rRNA from 1 species